rnacentral:rRNA from 1 species
GGGCCCGCACAAGCGGUGGAGCAUGUGGUUUAAUUCGAUGAUACGCGAGGAACCUUACCAGGGCUUAAAUGUAGUCUGACAGCUUUAGAGAUAGAGUUUUCUUCGGACAGAUUACAAGGUGCUGCAUGGUUGUCGUCAGCUCGUGCCGUGAGGUGUCAGGUUAAGUCCUAUAACGAGCGCAACCCCUGUCGUUAGUUGCCAGCAUGUCAUGAUGGGGACUCUAACGAGACUGCCGGUGCAAACCGCGAGGAAGGUGGGGAUGACGUCAAAUCAUCACGGCCCUUACGUCCUGGCCACACACGUGCUACAAUGGCCGGUACAGAGAGCAGCCACGUCGCAAGGCGGAGCG